rnacentral:rRNA from 1 species
CACGUAGUUAGCCGGUGCUUCUUUAUCCAUUACCGUCACUCACGCUUCGUCACAGGCGAAAGCGGUUUACAACCCGAAGGCCGUCAUCCCGCACGCGGCGUUGCUGCAUCAGGCUUCCGCCCAUUGUGCAAUAUUCCCCACUGCUGCCUCCCGUAGGAGUCUGGGCCGUAUCUCAGUCCCAAUGUGGCCGGUCACCCUCUCAGGCCGGCUACCCGUCAAAGCCUUGGUAAGCCACUACCCCACCAACAAGCUGAUAAGCCGCGAGUCCAUCCCCAACCGCCGAAACUUUCCAACCCCCACCAUGCAGCAGGAGCUCCUAUCCGGUAUUAGCCCCAGUUUCCUGAAGUUAUCCCAAAGUCAAGGGCAGGUUACUCACGUGUUACUCACCCGUUCGCCACUCGAGCACCCCACAAAAGCAGGGCCUUUCCGUUCGACUUGCAUGUGUUAAGCACGCCGCCAGCGUUCGUCCUGAGCCAGGAUCAAACUCU